rnacentral:rRNA from 1 species
UAAAAGUCGUAACAAGGUUUCCGUAGGUGAACCUGCGGAAGGAUCAUUACCGAGUGCGGGCUGCCUCCGGGCGCCCAACCUCCCACCCGUGACUACCUAACACUGUUGCUUCGGCGGGGAGCCCUCUCGGGGGCGAGCCGCCGGGGACUACUGAACUUCAUGCCUGAGAGUGAUGCAGUCUGAGUCUGAAUAUAAAAUCAGUCAAAACUUUCAACAAUGGAUCUCUUGGUUCCGGCAUCGAUGAAGAACGCAGCGAACUGCGAUAAGUAAUGUGAAUUGCAGAAUUCAGUGAAUCAUCGAGUCUUUGAACGCACAUUGCGCCCCCUGGCAUUCCGGGGGGCAUGCCUGUCCGAGCGUCAUUGCUGCCCAUCAAGCCCGGCUUGUGUGUUGGGUCGUCGUCCCCCCCGGGGGACGGGCCCGAAAGGCAGCGGCGGCACCGUGUCCGGUCCUCGAGCGUAUGGGGCUUUGUCACCCGCUCGAUUAGGGCCGGCCGGGCGCCAGCCGACGUCUCCAACCAUUUUCUUCAGGUUGACCUCGGAUCAGGUAGGGAUACCCGCUGAACUUAAGCAUA